GCGCCUAUAGCUCAGCUGGAUAGAGUAUCGGCCUCCGAAGCCGAGGGUCGCAGGUUCGAAUCCUGCUGGGCGCA
rnacentral:tRNA from 1 species